rnacentral:rRNA from 1 species
GAUGAACGCUAGCGGGAGGCCUAACACAUGCAAGCCGAGCGGUAUUGUUUCUUCGGCAAUGAGAGAGCGGCGUACGGGUGCGUAACACGUGUGCAACCUGCCUUUAUCUGGGGGAUAGCCUUUCGAAAGGAAGAUUAAUACUCCAUAAUAUAUUGAACGGCAUCGUUUAAUAUUGAAAGCUCCGGCGGAUAGAGAUGGGCACGCGCAAGAUUAGCUAGUUGGUGAGGUAACGGCUCACCAAGGCGAUGAUCUUUAGGGGGCCUGAGAGGGUGAUCCCCCACACUGGUACUGAGACACGGACCAGACUCCUACGGGAGGCAGCAGUGAGGAAUAUUGGUCAAUGGGUGCAAGCCUGAACCAGCCAUCCCGUGUGAAGGACGACUGCCCUAUGGGUUGUAAACUUCUUUUGGAUAGGGAUAAACCUACCCUCGAGAGGGUAGCUGAAGGUACUAUACGAAUAAGCACCGGCUAACUCCGUG